AUGUCAGUGAAAAUCUUAAUUACAUUUUUUUUAAAUCAAGCCAAAAAAUUUGUUGUCGCUAUAAUUAUUUUCUUUUGAUAUUAAAGACUUACUUUGUAGCCCACAGAUAUUAAAGUCCCCACAAUUGGUAUCAACAAGCCUUAAUAUUUGUAACAAAACUGGCCUACAGAACACUAUCCAAAACGAGCCACAAAAUCGAUAACCGUCAAACAGCUGUAACCACUAAUAAAUAAACAACAAUAACAGUGUGCCAAAAAAAAAAUUAAACAUCAAAGAUCGCGUCGCUCGACCUGAGACGAUCACCUGAUCUCGUCUUCCUCAUUUUGGCCAUUAGAUGGCCUUCAUCAGCCCGUGUCGGCAGAUAAUUAGCCGGACAGUAUGUGCGUAGCAAGCAGAAUCUCUUUACUCGGCUUGCAUGUGAUGGUAAAUCAUCACAUGCAAGCGGACGUUUGUUUUCAAAUACAACAGCAGAACAACAAUAAAGAAAAGACGUCGCCGAAUGCUAUGGCCAAUUGCCGCCGGGAAGAACGUAUAUAUAUAUAUUAAAAUUUAAAUAAUAAGUCCUCGCGGAUUUUCGUUAUAAGACUUUAUUUUUGAUUAUUUGAUUAUUUAAGAAACACAAAAUUAAUUAAUUGAUUACGGUUUAUAAAACAGUAGGCCGAUUCGCCGUAGUGAGUGAGUUAAUUUAUUACCGAAGUUGCUGGGCCGAUGUGCCUCAGUGAAAGCCAAAU